GAUGAAGAACGUAGCGAAAUGCGAUACGUAAUGUGAAUUGCAGAAUUCUGUGAAUCAUCGAAUCUUUGAACGCAUAUUGCGCUCUCUGGUAUUCCGGAGAGCAUGCUUGUUUGAGUAUCAGUAAACACCUCAACUUCCAUAUCUUUUUUGAAAUGGGAGUUGGACUUGAGUGAUCCCAACGCUUUUCCUCACCGAAAAGUGGCGGGUUACUUGAAAUGCAGGUGCAGCUGGACUUUUCUCUGAGCUAUAAGCAUAUCUAUUUAGUCUGCCUAAAAAACAGAUUAUUACCUUUGCUGCAGCUAACAUAAAGGAGAUUAGUUCUUGUGCUGACUGAUGCAGGAUUCACAAAGACAGCUUCGGCCGACUUUGUAAACUCGAUCUCAAAUCAAGUAAGACUACCCGCUGAACUUAAGCAUAUCAAUAAGCGGAGGA
rnacentral:misc_RNA from 1 species